GGCCUUGACAUACUAAGAACUUUCCAGAGAUGGAUUGGUGCCUUCGGGAACUUAGAUACAGGUGCUGCAUGGCUGUCGUCAGCUCGUGUCGUGAGAUGUUGGGUUAAGUCCCGCAACGAGCGCAACCCUUUUCCUUAUUUGCCAGCGGGUCAUGCCGGGAACUUUAAGGAUACUGCCAGUGACAAACUGGAGGAAGGCGGGGACGACGUCAAGUCAUCAUGGCCCUUACGGCCAGGGCUACACACGUGCUACAAUGGUCGGUACAAAGGGUUGCUACCUCGCGAGAGGAUGCUAAUCUCAAAAAGCCGAUCGUAGUCCGGAUCGCAGUCUGCAACUCGACUGCGUGAAGUCGGAAUCGCUAGUAAUCGCGGAUCAGAAUGCCGCGGUGAAUACGUUCCCGGGCCUUGUACACACCGCCCGUCACACCAUGGGAGUUUGUUGCACCAGAAGUAGGUAGUCUAACCGCAAGGAGGACGCCUACCACGGUGUGGCCGAUGACUGGGGUGAAGUCGUAACAAGGUAGGCGUAGAUGA
rnacentral:rRNA from 1 species